rnacentral:rRNA from 1 species
UGCCUACGGGUGGCUGCAGUUGGGAAUCUUGCACAAUGGGGGAAACCCUGAUGCAGCGACGCCGCGUGGAGGAUGACGGAUCUAGGUCUGUAAACUCCUUUUUCAUGGAAAGACUUAGGACGGUACCAUGAGAAUAAGGACCGGCUAACUACGUGCCAGCAGCCGCGGUAAGACGUAGGGUCCAAGCGUUGUCCGGAUUUACUGGGCGUAAAGAGCGCGUAGGCGGCUUGGUAAGUGUGGUGUGAAAUCUCCAGGGCUCAACCCGGAAACUGCACCGCAGACUGUCAGGCUUGAGGAAUGCAGAGGUAACUGGAAUUCCUGGUGUAGCGGUGAAAUGCGUUGAUAUCAGGAGGAACACCCAUGGCGAAGGCAGGUUACUGGGCAUUAUCUGACGCUGAGGCGCUAAAGCGUGGGUAGCAAACAGGAUUAGAUACCCCGGUAGUCC